rnacentral:rRNA from 1 species
UGCUUGUACGGCGAGUGAGCGGCAAAGCUCAAUUUGAAUCUGGUACCUUCGGUGCCCGAGAUUGUAAUUUGGAGAGGGCAACUUUGGGGCCGUUCCUUGUCUAUGUUCCUUGGAACAGGACGUCAUAGAGGGUGAGAAUCCCGUGUGGCGAGGAGUGCGGUUCUUUGUAAAGUGCCUUCGAAAAGUCGAGUUGUUUGGGAAUGCAGCUCUC